GGAUGGAUGUCUGAGCGGUUGAAAGAGUCGGUCUUGAAAACCGAAGUAUUUCUAGGAAUACCGGGGGUUCGAAUCCCUCUCCAUCCG
rnacentral:ncRNA from 14 species